rnacentral:rRNA from 1 species
UAGUGGAGUGAUUUGUCUGCUUAAUUGCGAUAACGAACGAGAUCUUGCCCAUCUAAAUAGUGAUUGCAACAAAUGGUUGUAAUAUACUUCUUAGAGGAACUCGUCGGAAUACUAAUACCGAACGGAAGUGAGGCGAUAACA